AACCUUACCAGGCCUUGAAUCCAAUGAACUUUCCAGAGAUGGAUUGGUGCCUUCGGAACAUUGAGAAGGUGCUGCAUGGUGUCGUCAGCUCGUGUCAGUGAGAUGUUGGGUUAAGUCCCGUAACGAGCGCAACGCCUUGUCCUUAGUUACCAGCACGUUAUGGUGGGCACUCUAAGGAGACUGCCGGUGACAAACCGGAGUAAGGUGGGUAUGACGUCAAGUCUAUGGCCCUUACGGCCUGGCUACACACGUGCUACAAUGGUCGGUACAGAGGGUGCCAAGCCGGAGGGAGCUAAUCCCAGAAAACCGAUCGUAGUCCGCAUCGCAGUCUGCAACUCGACUGCGUGAAGUCGGAUCGCUAGUAAUCGCAAAUCAGAAUGUCGCGGGGAAUACCUUCCCGGGCCUUGUCACAUCGCCCUCACACAUGGAGUGGAUUGCACCAGAAGUAGUGUCUAACCUUCGGGGACGGUUACCACGGUGUGAUUCAUGACUGGAGAGAAGUCGAACAUGGUACCCGU
rnacentral:rRNA from 1 species